rnacentral:tRNA from 1 species
CGCUACAGCUCAGCUGGUAGAGCAUCCGCUCGAUAAGCGGAAUGUCGCCGGUUCGACACCGACCUCUGGCGC